rnacentral:rRNA from 1 species
CUGGCGGCGUGCCUAAUACAUGCAAGUAGAACGCUGAAGAGAGGAGCUUGCUCUUCUUGGAUGAGUUGCGAACGGGUGAGUAACGCGUAGGUAACCUGCCUUGUAGCGGGGGAUAACUAUUGGAAACGAUAGCUAAUACCGCAUAACAAUGGAUGACACAUGUCAUUUAUUUGAAAGGGGCAAUUGCUCCACUACAAGAUGGACCUGCGUUGUAUUAGCUAGUAGGUGAGGUAACGGCUCACCUAGGCGACGAUACAUAGCCGACCUGAGAGGGUGAUCGGCCACACUGGGACUGAGACACGGCCCAGACUCCUACGGGAGGCAGCAGUAGGGAAUCUUCGGCAAUGGGGGCAACCCUGACCGAGCAACGCCGCGUGAGUGAAGAAGGUUUUCGGAUCGUAAAGCUCUGUUGUAAGUCAAGAACGAGUGUGAGAGUGGAAAGUUCACACUGUGACGGUAGCUUACCAGAAAGGGACGGCUAACUACGUGCCAGCAGCCGCGGUAAUACGUAGGUCCCGAGCGUUGUCCGGAUUUAUUGGGCGUAAAGCGAGCGCAGGCGGUUUGAUAAGUCUGAAGUUAAAGGCUGUGGCUCAACCAUAGUUCGCUUUGGAAACUGUCAAACUUGAGUGCAGAAGGGGAGAGUGGAAUUCCAUGUGUAGCGGUGAAAUGCGUAGAUAUAUGGAGGAACACCGGUGGCGAAAGCGGCUCUCUGGUCUGUAACUGACGCUGAGGCUCGAAAGCGUGGGGAGCGAACAGGAUUAGAUACCCUGGUAGUCCACGCCGUAAACGAUGAGUGCUAGGUGUUGGAUCCUUUCCGGGAUUCAGUGCCGCAGCUAACGCAUUAAGCACUCCGCCUGGGGAGUACGACCGCAAGGUUGAAACUCAAAGGAAUUGACGGGGGCCCGCACAAGCGGUGGAGCAUGUGGUUUAAUUCGAAGCAACGCGAAGAACCUUACCAGGUCUUGACAUCCCGAUGCUAUUUCUAGAGAUAGAAAGUUACUUCGGUACAUCGGUGACAGGUGGUGCAUGGUUGUCGUCAGCUCGUGUCGUGAGAUGUUGGGUUAAGUCCCGCAACGAGCGCAACCCCUAUUGUUAGUUGCCAUCAUUCAGUUGGGCACUCUAGCGAGACUGCCGGUAAUAAACCGGAGGAAGGUGGGGAUGACGUCAAAUCAUCAUGCCCCUUAUGACCUGGGCUACACACGUGCUACAAUGGUUGGUACAACGAGUUGCGAGUCGGUGACGGCAAGCUAAUCUCUUAAAGCCAAUCUCAGUUCGGAUUGUAGGCUGCAACUCGCCUACAUGAAGUCGGAAUCGCUAGUAAUCGCGGAUCAGCACGCCGCGGUGAAUACGUUCCCGGGCCUUGUACACACCGCCCGUCACACCACGAGAGUUUGUAACACCCGAAGUCGGUGAGGUAACCUUUUGGAGCCAGCCGCCUAAGGUGGGAU